UCGCUCGCUGCUGUUCCACCGCUGCUUAGGCACCGACACCGGAGGGGUGGCGGAUAAAAAGGCACGUAGCACUGUUUAUGUUUCCGUGCUCACACGAAGCUCUUGAGUGUUGCAAGACGCACCCUCCCACAGUCGCAGCGCUGCACAGCAAUGGAGCUAUUCCGCAUCACGGCUCCGUUGCGCUUUUACAAAAGCAAUCGCGGCAUCCGUCUCUCGAACCCGUCUCGUCGGUGGCUGUACAACCGCCUUUUCCUCGGUGGCAUCGGCGCGUUUGGUUGUUACCUCACGCUGCGCUAUCAACUCGCUGCGUGGGAAGCGUCUAGGAAUCCGGAAGAUGGAAACUGCCUGUGCUCCAGCGACAUGGUCGACUUCCUGCGCUACAUGCCCUUCAACCUCUUCUCUAACGUCGUCGGCCGGCUUGUAGAAAACGAAUCCGUACCGGCGUGGGUGCACAACUGGUUUGCGCAGGCUGUGGUUUACUGGUACGCACUUGACAUGUCGGAGUCGGUGCAGAAGACCAACUUCGAGACCUUUCAGCAGUUUUACGUCCGCGACUGGACGCCAAAGGCACGCCCAGUAGAUGCGGCGGCCUCUGUUGUCGCCCCGUGUGACGGCCAAGUGUUGGCAGUGAACACGAAUGUGGAGAGCACCUCGCUUGUGCAAGUGAAAGGACUUACCUACGGCAUGCGCUCCCUCUUGCAGGAAACUCCUCCGCCGCUGGGCACGGACACGCACCGCCGAGUGGCCGUGGUGCUUCACAUGCGCAACAAGGACUUUCAUCAUGUCAUCGCACCACUAUCAUUUGCGUGCGAGAAGAGCAUCUACGUGCCCGGCUCCCUGCUACCGACGACCGCGGCCGGCUAUCAUUGGAUUCCUGCCGUUCUCACCCUCAACGAGCGCCUCGUACUACAAGGGAGGUCUAGCGACAAGGCACGGCUCCCGGUUUACAUGGCCCUAGUUGGCAGCACUCUCACCGGACGCAUCACGCUCUACAUGGACAAGCGCGUUCGCACAAACUACCUCGACCCGCCAGCCUACGCCGUGCACUCGCCGUACGCGUCGAAGCCAGUUGUGGCGCGCGGUGAGCGACUGGCGACGUUCAACUGGGGAUCAUCUGUCGUCCUGGUAAUGGAUGUACCUAAGAGCUGCAAGCCGCUCAAGCGCGCAGGUGAUGUAGUGAAGGCUGGCGAGGCCCUCUUCCAAUUCUAAUGGCUGUGCUCCCCUUACGGUUCGUCUUUUGUCACAGUUUGGGUGUGUGUGUUUAAAGGGUUUACUUCACAGAUAUUUUUCGGCUCUGAGAUCAUCUCUCUCCCGGUGGCGCGAAACGGACGUUUUGCGUAGUCAUUGACCAUCUGCUUCGGUGGCGAGCGUACCAUGCAUCGCCGUCGUCUUGAGUGCACGCUGCCAUCGUAAAAGCCAGCGCAAUUUUCGCGCUGAAAGCCGCCGUGCGGGUUCUUGUAUGGGUGUGCUGUUCGUGCGAAGUCGCCUCCACACACGCACACACCCUCCCCCAGUCCAUUCCUCUGUGUCGUCGGGUUUCUUCGCCUUUCUGAUGGAUUUUUUUUUUUGGAGGGGAAGGGGGAGGGGCAGAAAACGAUGCGGGAUGGGGAGGCGACCUUGUAGGAACACCACAAGCAGCACGUGUUGCUCUGACGGUCUGUCUUUCGUGGGGAUCGGCUUGCUUGAGCACUGGCAUCUGUCCGUUGUGUAUAUAUAUAUAUAUAUAUAUAUAUAUGUAUGUGUGUGUGUGUGUGUCUCUCUCUCUGGAUAAGGCACAAUGCGCGUGCGCCAGUGCAGUUUAUGUGUUGUUGCUAUUGUCUUUCCUACACCACCACUUGUGCGCUUCUGCUAUUCUCCCUCUCUUCCUCCCCGACGCUGUAG
rnacentral:misc_RNA from 1 species